AUCAGAACUCGGGCCCCUCUGGCGUAUUACCGGACAAUACGCGAUGUCGAGUUUCUAAA
rfam:Agrobacterium sp. DSM 25559 isolate DSM25559 genome assembly, contig: DSM25559_contig7